UGCCCAGCAACUCCUAUCCCUACCUCCUCGGGGUACCAGCCGAAAACUAAGAGCAACCUUAAGGAAGAUCGGGUAACCAACCCCGGUGGGAACUUUGGUCAUAGGCUGACAGGGAAGG
rnacentral:ribozyme from 1 species